rnacentral:misc_RNA from 1 species
AUUCAUAUUUCAUCCAUCGAUAGAGUAAAGCAGAGCAGGCACAGCUGAACAGCGGCGGCAAAAUCAGUAAAUUUUUGCAUAAAAAAUUUGUAAUUUUCAAAACAGUGCAUAAAAAGGCAAAGAAUGAGUACUGGCGGCACCGGAGGCGGUGUUGGAGGCGGUGCACGCCCACCACCCAGAAUCGAUGGCAUGGUCUCGCUAAAGGUCGACAAUCUCACAUAUCGCACCACGCCCGAAGACUUGCGUCGUGUCUUCGAACGUUGCGGCGAAGUUGGCGACAUUUACAUACCACGCGAUCGCUACACACGUGAAAGUCGCGGAUUUGCCUUUGUGCGCUUCUAUGAUAAGCGCGACGCUGAGGAUGCACUAGAGGCCAUGGAUGGUCGUAUGCUGGACGGCAGGGAGCUGCGCGUUCAAAUGGCACGCUAUGGUCGACCUUCGUCACCGACACGCCGCAACAGCAGCAGUAGUCGUCGUGGCGCUGGUCUUGGCGCCGGCGCUGGCGGCGGUGCUGGAGGACGUCGUCGCUCGCGUUCACGUUCGCCGAUGCGUCGUCGUUCGCGCAGUCCGCGACGACGCUCCUCAUAUUCGCCUCGUUCACGCUCGCGCUCGGCGGGCAGUCGUUCACCCGGUCGUCGCAGCAAAUUUUCACGCAGUCCCGUGCGCGGCGACAGUCGCAACGGUAUCGGUAGCGGCGGCCUGGCCAGCGGCUCACGCAGUCGCAGUCGUUCCUAAAAAUGCUGCUCGCUUCAGACGUUCCAUACUUUUACGUACGAAAAGGCCUUAAUUGACUCGUGGACAACGGUAUAUCCAGGAAAACCCGCUCAACUAGGCUGCUGUAAGAACUUCUCAUGCUGUGUACCAGAACAGCAGGCAAGAGUGCGCGGCGUUUGUUGCAGUCGUUGCUGUUAAUGUAUAUGUUAUGUUAUGGCUGGCGUGCGAGUCGUGCGUGGGCAAGGGAGAGAGUCGGUCAGUCGGCGAGCGAGAGAGCAUACACAAAACGAGAGCGGAGAGCGGAAACGUCGCGUCGCUGCUGCCGGGUGCUGCUCAUGCUGCUGCUGCUACUGCUACUGUUGCUGUUAUCUGCAAAACUUCGCUGCGCUGCUGAUGCCGCUGUUGCUGUUACUUCGAACUUCCCCACACACCCACACAUACACAACCCACACGCACGCGCGCACACAUAUACUCACAAUGUUGCCGUUGCGUCUGCGUCUGCCGAGUUGGUGCUGUUGCUGCUGUUAUGCUGCUGCAGAUGCCGGCGUCCUUGUCUGCCGCCGGCCCUCAACUGUUUCGCUGUUUAGUUUACCGUUGGCGUUUUGCUGCUUCACUUCUUGUUCGCACUUGUUGCUGUUGGCGGUGUUGUUGGCGUUGUUUCCUGCUGUUUCCAGCUCUAUCUAGCGAUUGGUGGGGCCUACUUUUGACUUUAGCGAAAUUUGUAGCGGACUCGGACAACAAAUGACGCCCCCACCCUCCCCAACCACUGAGCAUAAAUUUGAUUGAUUCACCUGGAAUCCAACUGGUAAGUAAAGCAUUAACAUAUGUAGCUAACAUUUCGGAUUCUAUUACAGCCAAAUUCAAAUUAACUCAUAUAGAUGA